rnacentral:rRNA from 1 species
UAGUCCACGCCGUAAACGAUGUCUACUAGCCGUUGGGAGACUUGAUUUCUUAGUGGCGCAGCUAACGCACUAAGUAGACCGCCUGGGGAGUACGGCCGCAAGGUUAAAACUCAAAUGAAUUGACGGGGGCCCGCACAAGCGGUGGAGCAUGUGGUUUAAUUCGAUGCAACGCGAAGAACCUUACCAGGCCUUGACAUACAGAGAACUUUCCAGAGAUGGAUUGGUGCCUUCGGGAACUCUGAUACAGGUGCUGCAUGGCUGUCGUCAGCUCGUGUCGUGAGAUGUUGGGUUAAGUCCCGUAACGAGCGCAACCCUUGUCCUUAGUUGCCAGCACAUAAUGGUGGGAACUCUAGGGANACUGCCGGUGAUAAACCGGGAGGAAGGUGGGGACGACGUCAAGGUCAUCAUGGCCCUUACGGGCCUGGGGCUACACACGUGCUACAA